rfam:Pseudomonas putida CSV86 contig00173, whole genome shotgun sequence.
GGCCCAGCUCUUGCUAGGAAUAUUCCGGUAGCCAACGGCGGUUGCCCCAACCCCCAAUACCGACAAAGACGUCGC